CAGAAUUGAAAGGCAUUUCAAUCCAGUUACAUUCCAAGCCUUAUUGUGAUGCGUGAAUGCGGUCUAAUGAGCAUAUGCUUUCAUGUUCAAAUGCCACUUCUAUUCUGUUUGCUCACAUCCCGAUCCCAGAGCACUUAUCCACAUUCCUAUAUAUCCUAGGCUGGAGGACCUGGCUAGCUGUAUAUGAAUGCAGAGACACUACAUUGAUUCUGUGAGUCUGCCUUCUAACUUCAUUGCAACUGUACACUUACGUUAUCUGUGCAUGUCUCUACUUUGUUUUCUACAUUAGAAUCUGUGAUUUGUUGGCAACUUCAAAGGCUAUUCUCAUCUUGACUUGUGGCUUGCAUCUCAAAGUUAUCUCUUCGAGACAACAGAUCUGAAAAUGUGGUUGCCAUUCUUCAAGAUAUAUUUUGCUUUCAGCAUCACUUUAUAAGUUCAUAUCUACGUCAUUUGUAGUUGCCUUCGCACAUGAAAUUCAGGAACUGGCCGAAGUCAACAAAGAUACAGACCUCAACUCAGUGGCUGAAGAAAUAAUGAGGAGGACAUGGUUCCAAUUACCAAUUAAUCAGGUUGCAGAUACCAUUAAUGCAACCACCGAAGGAUAUGACGAUAAGCUAUGCUUUUGCAAAGAAGAUUCCGUGCGACAGUUAAAGGUAAUCAGACCAAUAAAAGUCUGAGAAGGGCAGGCAAACUCGCCGGAUGCUUAGGAGCCCGGAUGGAGGCAACGUUCUCCAAAGAUAUUUGUCUUGAAGAAAAGACGAGAUCCAGAAAACAGAGUCCCAGAUUCUCGAGGUAUAAGGAGGAGGUCACAGAAUUUCAGUCGAGGUACAACUCCCUUUUUAGAGAAAAAGAGGGGAGAAAGAUGACAUCUGUUGACAUACGAGCAGUAGGGAAGCAGCUGUCAGCAAAUGAGGCGUGCUCCAUGAAGAAGACAUUGGUGAAAUUAAGUAAGCAGUUUGAUAAAGAAGCCAAAAUUGCGCAAAUUGACACCCCUUACUAUUAGAAUUGAAGCAAUGAGUUGUCCAAACCACCGUGCGACAAUUCUUAUAUGAGCGCAGGGUGGAGCAAAAUGUUACGUUUUUAGAAUGCAAAAUUUGGUCAAUGUAAGCACGUUGACAAGAUGUGAAAUUUUUUCCACGCUUUAUCAUAAAUAUUCAUCAUAAAAUCAAGGAGCUUCAAAAUGGAGCUCCUUUAUAAAAUAUAUUGUUUAUGUCUUGAAAGGCGGUGGGGAUGGCAUGCCAUCACUCCUCUCUGAAAGGUGGGUGGGGAUAUUUCCCCACGGGAUUACGUCCGUUACGCAAAUUAAUUCACUGGUUCGUUACUUAGUUGUGCAGUUGGAGUCUUGGACCAAUAUGUUUUUAAAUUUACCUUGAGAAAUUGUAGUCGAUCUCACGCAGGAGUGAUGGAAGGACUUCCCCUUCUCGCAGGAACUGUUGGAACAAGUCAAUUUUAAAAUGCCUCCAUCUUAUUUACUCCUGCAUAUACAGAAUUGGCCGUUACCAGAUUCUGUGCAUUCUUUACUGCAGAACCAGUCAGUCUCUUCUUCCCCGUCUGACACCAUCACACAAUCCAUAUGGAACCAUCUACCUUCCUUGCAGGUUACAUUUGAACAUUCAAGCAUUGACGUUCCAUCAAGUUCUGAAAAGUAUAUGCAUUGUUUGUUGAUGUGUUAUUAUUAUCAAAAUUAUUAUCAUAAUCAAUUCAAUCAUUUUAUUUUCCACUUUCAAUUUCAUAUUUACAAUUUUUGAUACAAUUGACAUAGUAACAUAUAAUCACAUUUGAAGUACAUACAAAAAAUUGAUAACAUUAUAAAAUUACAAUAGACAAUUAUCAAAUCGAAAUAUAAAUAAUUGAAAGGGAGGGAGGGCCAACUGAUAAGCAGAGCUUUGCAAAUUAUUGAGAGAUUUCAGACUUUUGUGCUGUCAUAUUUGAACGAUUGCUUAUAAAGUGAUUCUUAAUAAGGUUUUAAUCUAACUCCAUUGGGGGAACCAGCAUUUCUAGUAUCAAAUCUGUGGUGAUCAAAAACCAUUUCAAUACACAGGCGUGAUGGGGCAAGAACAUUCAAUACUUCAAUACAUUAAAAAAUAAAUUCUUCAUUAGGUUGAUGCCAUUGCUGGUCUCAUAAUUAAAAUUACGUGACAAUUUGAGCAGCUCUUGUUUGCAAUCUUAUAAGGUUCCUAAUCAAAACAUCUGGGCAAUUCCCGUACUGAUCACGUGUAGUCAAAAGAAGGUUAUGUAACACUCUGGUUUUGUAGUAGAAAGUAAAGUUCACUUCGAUGGCGUAUUGUGAGUGUUACUUAGAUAAAUACACUUAUGAUGAGAUAUAACAGAUGAAACGGGAGACGGUAGUACAGUUCCAGAAUAUUUAUUACCUCUCCUGACAGAGUUAAAUUCGGAGUAUAAUAUAAUAAUCGUCAUGACUAUCUUGUAGGCAACAUUAUAUUGAAGAUGAUAUUCAAGAUAAAAAUUGUAUAGAUAAGAUAAUAUUCGGAAAGCUGGGGGGCGUUUCAUCAACAUUUUUGUCCGACAAGUUGUCAGAUCUGACAACUUUUCUGGAUUUUGAUUGGCUGAGAAGCACUGUUACUAUGGUAACUGUCGGAUAAAAUGGGACUUGUCGGAUAAAAUGUCUGACAAGUCCUUUCAUGAAACGCUCCCCCGGUUACUCCGUUAACCGGCCGUAAGUUUGGCCUGGAGUUAAGAGCAUGGGAUGGAUGUGAUAUGGAGUCACGAACCCCAAAAGAACCCAGAGUGACAAUUCAAUUCAAUUUCAUCCAACUAUAGCAUGUAUACAAAAUGUCAAACUAUGAGUAGGAAUUAGCAGGGAUAAAUGAAUAUGAAAAGGUCUAUUAGCUAUAUUUAAAAAGGUAAGAAAGGAUUGCUACCAGCUUGAUGAAGGAUAAGUACAUCUUUGUAUUUCAAGCAAAGGUAGGGAAGAAGGAGGAGGAUGAGAGAAAGAGAGAAAAGAUGUCAGCUCUAUUAAAUACAGUUGUAUUUGCCAAACUGAUGUUGGUAAUGUGUGCAGUAAGAAUAAAAGGAAAUACCUGUAGGUUUCCUGGGCUUUACUAAUAUGAAUUCAAAAGAGAAUAAUUAGGUAAAGAUUACUGGACAGGUCCAGAGCUGGUCAGAAGCACAACAGAGAGAUUUUAGCUACUUAACAAAAACUUAAACUCUCACCUUGCUAGAACCAAGUUUUUUGGUAUGCGCAUCUUGAAUGCAUUGCCUUUUUCAUACUUGAUGUGCCAAUUUUAUAAGGACUUUCUAUUCAAUGGGUUAUUCAACCCUAUCACAUUUUCUCAAUGGCUGAGCAGAAACUUGUGAACUCACAAUGUACUCCCCAUUCGCUCUUCGUCACUUGUGAACUCACAAUGUACUCCCCAUCUGCUUUGUCACUUAUGAACUCACAAUGUACUCCCCAUUUGCUCUUCGUCACUUGUGAACUUACAAUAUACUCCCCAUUUGCUCUUCGUCUCUGAUAACAUUCCAUAGAAAAAGUCACGACUGCCAUCUAAAUUAGACUCCUCUUGCUGUAGUUGCAAAUGUGAAGGUAUUGAUAUUUCAUUGUCAGAAUUACUGAAUUCAUAGACAUCUUUUGUGUGUUUGGUCUUAGGAUACUGAAUGCUUUUGGAUGCACUAGAUUUCCACAAGGUUGUUCAUCAGCACAAUAAAAGCCUAACUGAUAGAA